AAUCAACGCUGGCGGCGUGCUUAACACAUGCAAGUCGAACGGUAAGGCCCUUCGGGGUACGACGAGUGGCGAACGGGUGAGUAACACGUGGGUGAUCUGCCCUGCACUUUGGGAUAAGCCUGGGAAACUGGGUCUAAUACCGAAUACACCUCAUUGGCUGCAUGGCUGGUGGGGGAAAGCUUUUGCGGUGUGGGAUGGGCCCGCGGCCUAUCAGCUUGUUGGUGGGGGUGAUGGCCUACCAAGGCGACGACGGGUAGCCGGCCUGAGAGGGUGUCCGGCCACACUGGGACUGAGAUACGGCCCAGACUCCUACGGGAGGCA
rnacentral:rRNA from 1 species